rnacentral:rRNA from 1 species
CCUACGGGCGGCAGCAGUAGGGAAUUUUGCGCAAUGGGCGAAAGCCUGACGCAGCAACGCCGCGUGAUUGAUUAAGCCCUUCGGGGUGUAAAGAUCUGUCAGUGGGGACGAAACUUGACGGUACCCACAGAGGAAGCAUCGGCUAACUCCGUGCCAGCAGCCGCGGUAAUACGGAGGGUGCAAGCGUUGUCCGGAAUCAUUGGGCGUAAAGAGUUCGUAGGUGGGUUAUUAAGUCUGUUGUUAAAGUCCGAAGCUCAACUGCUGUUCGGCACUUGAUACUGGUAAGCUUGAGUGCGGUAGAGGUAAAGGGAAUUCCUGGUGUAGCGGUGAAAUGCGUAGAUAUCAGGAAGAACAUCGGUGGCGUAAGCGCUUUACUGGGCCGUAAUUGACACUGAGGAUCGAAAGCCUGGGUAGCAAAUAGGAUUAGAUACCCGAGUAGUC